AAGGGGUAUAAGUGAAACUUUCUCCACAAACUAAUAUUCUUUAAUUGAGAUAGAGCGUGACAUUUUUCUUUUAGAAUUAAUAAACGUUUUUUCAUAGUUACAACAAAGAGAGAUGCAAUGAUUCUCGCACGUCCCUAAAAAAAACGUGUCAUAGUUCAAAAAAUAAGAACGGAAUGUUUUGCAACAAAUUAUAAAGUACAAAAAAAUGCAUGAAUUCAACAUUUAACCAUUAAUCAAUCCCUAAAAUGUGACAGGUAAUUUCACUAAUUAUCGUUUCUUUAAUUUAUCUAAGUUAGUGGCGUAACUUGCUCUCCAUGAGCCAUGUAAAAUUAACAUGAGCUGUCCAUUUUCCCAUCCUCUCAAAGCAGGUUUAAAUUUAUUUACUUUCUGUAUAAAUUCAUGUUCUCCAUGUUUGUACCUCUUAAGUUCAUCAAGUGCUAUCUCAUAUGUAUUAGAAACUAGAAAGCAAAAGUAAUUGAGUGCUAAACUUGUAUCAUGACAAAUGUACACAUGCAACACGAAAUUAUUUUUAAAAGCUCAGCACAAGCUGCCCCACCCUCAUAUCUAUGAUCCAUAUUCUCUUGUUGAGUCUCCAUCAAAAUGUUUUAGGUGCACGUUAAUUUAUGGCUGUGCAUGAUUGUACCCCACUUAAAGUCAAGCUUUCCCUUGCGUAACGAUUAGUCUUCCAAUUUUUUCCACAAGCAUGCUCAUAAAGUUUUGUUAAGUUUUAUUAUUUGAUCAUCAUAUAGUUAGAAGACUGUGAUUGAAUAUUUGAAUUACCGUGUUAUUGACUAACAUUAUCUUUUAACUGUAAAAAGUAAAUGCCCUCAUAAUUCACACUGUUUGAGUCAAUUAUCCAAUUAAUUAAUGUGAAUACUCCAAUCUCCUGAACUUCUUUUCGAUCAGAAUCGAACUACGUGUGUAAGUUCCGAUAAGUACAAUUGUGGGCCCCCCCAAUUUUGUACCAAGGCUACACCGAAUAUUCUUAAUGCAGCCUCUAUCGCGCAAUUACUCUUCUUGUCCCUUGAACUUUUGUAGCAUUUAUAUUUUUUGAACUUUGGUGUUUGGUCGUGUUUUUUUUUUUUUUUGAAUUUUAUGAGAUUAUUACUUGGAUUAUAACUCAUAUUUCAUAAGAUUAAUACAUUAAUAUUUAUAAUUAGAUAAUUAUUAGAACUAAUUUAUAAAUCUUAUAUUCGAGGGACUAUCUUUACUCAAGUUGAGGAAGGAAAUUGAAUCUCUACAAUGCGUUGUGGGGGACUUAAACCCAUGACCUCAUAAUAGUGAUAAAUGGGUUCUGACCACUAGGCUUUAGCCUAGUGGCUGUCUGGUCAUGUAUUCGGAUUUUAAGAAAAGAUUUUCACUUAAUUUAAUUUGAUAACUUGAGCUGUCAUAUGGUAUAAAUAUUCCACGUGGAAUGAGUUAAGUUUAUGGGUUUUUAGACGGAAAAAUAUUAUCUAAAAUUAAUUUUCACCAUUACCCAAAAUUCUUCCAAAUAACUUUUUUUUUUUCAUUUAUCUUCUUCUGAAAAAGGAAAACAUAACAAAAUAAAGACUUAGUUUUAGAUCACUCCCACUUAAAUUGACUAUAUUCAAGUAAUCAUCUCACUUUUUAAAAUCUCAAUUUAUUAUGUUUUUGUUAAGAAGACAAAAAAAAAAUUAUCUCUACAACACAUUUAUUUUGUUAUAUGUACAUUUAACCACCACAAAACUUUGACAUACUUUUUACACCAUCUUUAUUUAUAAACUUGUAUCAAUCAGCCACUUUGAACUAAAAAUAACCAUUU
rnacentral:lncRNA from 1 species